rnacentral:tRNA from 1 species
GUGGGUAUAGCUCAAUUGGUUAGAGCACCAGAUUGUGGCUCUGGAUGUUGCGGGUUCGAGCCCCGUUACCCACC